rnacentral:misc_RNA from 1 species
UGAUGAUUCAGAUGAGUUAUGAUUAACAGGUCCCAAAAUCCCUUUCUAUUUUUAAACUAGCAACUAUAACUUGAAGCAAAAAUUAAAAUUCUUAAAUAGAUUCAAACAAACAUGUAUUUACAGACAUGAAAUUUAACGCUCAAAACCAAACACUUAAGAAUGAAAGAAUUUGUACUCUACUCUAUUUCCUAAUCUCUCUUUGCCACCAAAAUACACAUCUUUCUUCCUGGAACUGCUUGCUUAGUCACUGAUUGAGGGAACUCCGGCACCAUCAUCUCCUCCAGAAGGCCCGGAACUGGCAGCAGCAGUAGUCUCCGGUCUAAUCUCUUCUAGUUGAUGAAGGACUUGUUGAACCUCAGGUCUUGCUGAGGGAGACGGAUCAACACAAUGCAAAGCUAGUUUCAAUGUGUUCAGCAAUUCAUCACCUAUUGUAGGUGCAUCCUUCAUCAAUUCCAAAUCGAAAACUUCAUUAGUCCACUCCUCUUUGACAUUAGAAGCAACCCAUUGAGGCAAAUCCACGCCAUUCAUCGCAUCUCCUGGAGACUUCCCCGUAAGAAGUUCCAAUAUGAUCACUCCAAGGCUGUAUACGUCUGUUUUCGUGUUUGCUUUCUCAAGCUUUGAAAGCUCAGGUGCUCGAUAGCCUAAUGCACCUGCAGUUGCAAUUACAUUAGUAUUUGCAGCAGUUGUCAUUAGCCUAGAUAACCCAUAAUCUGCAAUUCUCGCAUUUGCGUUCUCAUCAAGUAGAACAUUGCUUGAUGUAAGGUUUCCAUGCAUUAUGUUCUCGUGAUUGUGAAGAUAGAACAAGCCCCUUGUCAUGCCCUGUGCUAUCCUCAUUCUUGUUGGCCAAUCAAUGGGUGUAUCAGGUCCUCUAGCAUGUAGGAAAGCUGCAAGACUUCCUUUAGGCAUGUAGUCAAAGACAAGAAGCUUCUCUCCUUUAGGUCCCAAAUAAUAAGCCCUCAAAGCCAAAAGAUUUGGGUGUCUGAUUUUACCAAGAGCAUUAACCUCGGUUUCGAAUUCUCUCUGGCUUUUGGUGACCCUUUCUCUUAGUCUUUUCACUGCAACUUGAUUCCCAUCCUCUAACGUGGCCUUAUAGACAGUCCCAUAAGUGCUCUUUCCCAUAAUUUCCGCAGUUGCACACAAGAGAUCAUCUGCUGUAAAAGCUAAGGGCCCAUCAAAAUGGACUAGUUUCCCUCCAGCUUCUCCACCGGAUUCAACUUCACCAGCGACUGGUGGGGCUCCCUUUCCACCUCCUGCUGCUGCAGCAGCCCUCGCUGUGGCUUGACCAUCAUUGGCUUUCGAUGCUGCCCUUUUCCUUAUCAAGCAAAAGAGUAGAAUGCAGCAAAGUAUAAUUAGCACAAUGAGAAGAGCUCCGGCAGCAAUGAGAAUUAUGUCUUUAGUACUCAGUUUACGAUGUUGUUUUUUGGGCUUCUCCGGUGGUGGAGCUGGGACACUCUGGGAAGGUGCUUGAGAAGGACAUGGAGCUGCACCUUUAAAUCCACAUAAUUGAAUAUUACCUACAAAAGAACUUGAAUUGAAUUUUUGGGAUAGAGGAGUAGGAACAGGACCAGAGAGGUUAUUGUAAGAAACAUUGAAAGAAACAAGAUUUUGUAGGUUGUCUAGGGAAUCUGGGAUUUCUCCACUGAGCUUGUUCUGUGAUAAAUCAAGUUGUGUGAUUGUGGAAAUGUUUCCUAAUGUUGCAGGAAUGUGACCAAUAAAUUGGUUUCUCUUCAAAUUUAGAACAGAAAGGUUAUGCAAUCUGCCAAGAGCUUCUGGGAUUUGUUUAUCAAGGUUGUUGUUCUCGAGAUUUAACAGAACAAGUGAGGAUAGAUUAGAGAGACUAGUAGGCAAGCUUCCAUUAAUGGCAUUGUUGGAAAUAUCUAAUGUUCUUAGCCUAGAGAGCCCACCUAUUUCAACUGGAAUGGCUCCAGUGAUUUGGUUGUGACUAAGGGAAAUCUCUUGGAGCUCACUUAACUUGCCCAGAGAAGCAGGAAUGCUUCCAGAGAGGAAGUUAUGGCCAAGGGUUAAGUACUGAAGUUGAAAGAAGUUGGCAUUGUUUGGUCUUACACCCCAAGAGUCAGGGAUGGAGCCAGAGAGGUUAUUAUAUUGGAGAUCAAGGAAAAUGAGAGAGGAAGAACGAAUGAGGUUAAGUGGGAUGGAACCUGACAAUGAAUUAUAGCUCAGGUUGAGUCUAAAAAGCUUGGUAGCAUUUGCAAGGCUCUCUGGGAUAGUCCCAGUGAGAGAGUUGUUACCAAGGUCUAGAGUCUGAAGCAAAAGGCAAGAACCUAAAGAAGGAGGGAUUGAACCCGAAAGCUGGUUAUUGAAUAAUUGAACUCCUCUGAGACUGGGCAUAAUUCCCAUUGUCUUUGGAAUUGAGCCACCUAUGAGAUUGUCAUGAAGGCUGAGCUUUCGAAGUGCUUGAAGUUGGCCAAUUUUAUCAGUAAUCCUGCCUCCUAAUCCUUUCCAAGGAAGCUGGAUUACAAUAACUUGGCCUUGAGCACACUUGAUUCCAAUCCAACCUCCAGAACAAGCACCAUAACCACUAUCAUUCCAGCUCUUCAAGAACCCUUUUGUGUCAACUAGCUCUGCUUUAAAGGCUUGCAAUGCUUGAAAAUCAGCUUGGGUGACAACUACACCAUCCCAAUCUUGGCUUGAAACAGGUUGAAUGGCACAAACGAGCAGAUGAAGAAACAAGAAAAGAAACUGCGUAUAGUGCAAAAAGGGUACUUUCAAUUCCAACUGAAUCUUCCAUUUCUCCUUCUUCUUAUUGGCAAUACAACUCCCAUCUGCAAAACUUCGAAAAGGGUAUCUGCAGAAAUUAAUGAAACGUUUAUUUGGAUUUUCCAUAACUCUCAAGAAGUAGCAAAAAUGCAGAAAACAAGAAGAAGCUUUUGUUUUCCUAUUCUCUCUCCCUCUCUCUCUCACUCUCUUAUUUGAACUUCAGCAACAAUGAAACAGGAGCUAAAACAUUAGUGAUUGGGUUUUGUAAUGUGAAUUAGAGGUGGGGUUUCUGUGAAACACCACGUGAAGAUCCCACUUUAGAGAGAGAGAGAGAGAGAG